UACGUAGGGCGCAAGCGUUGUCCGGAAUUAUUGGGCGUAAAGAGCUCGUAGGCGGCUUGUCGCGUCGGAUGUGAAAGCCCGGGGCUUAACCCCGGGUCUGCAUUCGAUACGGGCAGGCUAGAGUGUGGUAGGGGAGAUCGGAAUUCCUGGUGUAGCGGUGAAAUGCGCAGAUAUCAGGAGGAACACCGGUAGCGAAGGCGGAUCUCUGGGCCAUUACUGACGCUGAGGAGCGAAAGCGUGGGGAGCGAACAGG
rnacentral:rRNA from 1 species